rnacentral:rRNA from 1 species
CGCCUGUUUAUCAAAAACAUCGCCUCUUGCCUCCCCAGUAUAAGAGGUCCCGCCUGCCCUGUGACUAAAAGUUUAACGGCCGCGGUAUUUUGACCGUGCGAAGGUAGCGUAAUCACUUGUCUUUUAAAUGGAGACCAGUAUGAAUGGCAUAACGAGGGCUAAGCUGUCUCCUUCCUCUAGUCAAUGAAAUUGAUCUGCCCGUGCAGAAGCGGGCGUGUGCACAUAAGACGAGAAGACCCUAUGGAGCUUUAGACAUCAAGGCAGCCCGCGUUAAUAAACCCCCCUUAAGGUAUAAAACAAAGCGGCCAACCUUGCCCCUUGUCUUUGGUUGGGGCGACCGCGGGGGAACAUGAAGCCCCCGAGUGGAAUGGGACAACCUCCCCGAGAAAAGGCCCCCAGGCCUAUUCACCAGAAAAUCUGACCAGCAGGAUCCGGUAAUCCGAUCAACGGACCUAGUUACCCUAGGGAUAACAGCGCAAUCCCCUUUUAGAGCCCACAUCGACAAGGGGGUUUACGACCUCGAUGUUGGAUCAGGACCUCCUAAUGGUGCAGCCGCUAUUAAGGGUUCGUUUGUUCAACGAUUAAAGUCCUACGUGAUCUGAGUUCAGACCGG